CCUUUCAUUUUUAUUGAAGUAUGGAUAUGAUGUACCUGGUGUAUUAGAGUUCUCCAGAGAAAGAGACAGAUACAACACAGCAGCUGAGGGUCACAAGUGGGAAAGUUUAUUAAAGCGAAAGUACACUCUCGAGGUAGGAGAGCUGGUAAGCUCUACCCUCAAUAUGGGGCUCAAGCUUGCAAUCCUGAGAUUGUCCCAUGCUCCUUGGACUGAGCCAGCCAGGUUCUGAAAUGAUCUGAGAAAUGAAAUUUCUUCCCAUGUAACUGGGAAUCUCUGAUCUCAAAGUGGGUAAGUGCUUCUACUGCUGACAAUCCUUUUAAAUGUUCCAGUGUACUUUUAACUGGAUUCUACCAAUCUGCCUCUAUUAGUUUGUUCUUUGAAAGCAUUCAGGAAAUUGCCUGUUUUGAUAACAAUUUUUGGGGGAUUACAGGUAUCAAGAUACAGCUUAAAGUCAAUUUGUGGUUAUGUGUAAGAAUUUGAAACAGAAUGGUCAAUAUUUUCCAAAAGGUUAAAUAAUCUCUAUCUCUCUCCCUCUCUCAGUCUCUCUCUCUGUCCCACUUUCCUUACUCUUUCUUCUCCCACUCUCCUGGGUCUGAAAGACUCUCCAUCUUGAUUCAGGGGUUCUUACUUUAUCAAAUUCUUGCUCUACAUUUUCUUUUUUUUUUUUAAGACUUCUUAUUUAUUUGACAGAGAGAGAGCGUGCGAGCA